CCUCAACAGUGUUUAUGUUUUUAUUCAUAUACGCGGCCUAAUUUAUUUCAAUCUCGUUUUUCUUUAAUUUGUUAUUUAUAAAUACCUAGUUCUCACAAAACAUGUUCUGCAAAGCCGUAUUUUUACAACUGUAACCGAAAAGUGAAUUCGUGGUAAAAAUGCUCGUACAGCAAACAUUCCUCAACGCCAUGUAGGCCACCGAACGGGUCCCUUGAAAUGCAGAGUUCCUUCAACGCCCACUUUUCUGUCAACUAUUCAGAAACAUCACUCCUGCUGUGAAAGCGGGUCACAUGCUCAACAUCUACCUCUUGGACUGUUGCAGGAGUGUUUACUCCAGAAAAGCACUCCGAAUUUAGUGCACUGUCUUCUCUACGGUUGCCAGUGAUGAAGCUUCUAAUUAUGUAUAGCUGUAAAUUAAUUUAUAAUGAUGCUGGAUACUGUCCUGGAGCUCAAUUUUACUCAUGAAUUGGAGGAGAAACAUACAUAAUAAUGGAGCACAGAGUUCUAAGUUUGGAAGCAUGUUUGGUCGCAUUUCCAGAUUUGAAUAUCUGUUAAGCAAUCGACUAUCACCUAGCACCGUCUCAUCGAGCAUGUAUGCGAUCUGCUCCAUUUACACCCCGGAGGUGAUUCUACGCUUCUAACGUUUAUGCAAUGACUUCCUGUGCUACCUCGUAUUCGCCAAUGUGAAGCAGGAAUUGCUGGUGAAGAUAGUGGAGACGAUGCUGUGAAGGUGGUGCUGGAGUUGGCGAACCUGGCCUCGUCGACGAUUUUGCAGUUGAUGUAAUGAGGGACUGAUUUUCGCUAAAAAUGGGAGAGAUUAUGCUGCAUCCAGGAUAAGUGAAAUUUGUUAAUAUAUGGAGGAGGACCAACGCGCACUGGGAGUUUUCGAAAGGAAAAUGCUGCGUACCAUCUAUGGUGGGGUGAAAAUACAACGCCUGUUGUAGAUAGCAUUUUAACUGUUUCAAAUUUCAUUUCCUAUACAUACUCCCAUACAUUUUAUAACUCAACUAAAGAUGCCCUAACAUUACUAAAGAUGCCGUUACUAAAGUCUAUUCAAUUUUAAAAACUAAUUCAGAUUGCUUCCUAAAUAUAUUUUAAAACGAAAGAUUUUAUACAUACGUAGUUCCCUGUAGUUCCACUGGCCAAGUGGUGAAAUGAUGGUCGCCUGAGAGUUUAGCCGGUUGCGGUAAGAUCUGUCGCAUGGCGUGUGUUUGGGAUUACAGAAUUACAUCGUAUUACACUCAACCCUCUUUUUACGUCACUUAUUGGGGGGACGUAAACCGAAUGUGACGUAAAAAGAAAUUUUGUUAAAUUUCUUGUAUUUCCCUUAAUUUAUUGAUCGUGAGGAUACUUUCAAACACAUUCACUUGCGUCUUACAUGAGGUAUUGUAAGAUCUCUCCAAAUCCAGGAGAUGUUAUAAGAUCUCCAAAUUGUCCUGGAGUUUGAAUCAAAUGGUCUACCGAAUCAACCAAAGCCUUCAUGAUGUCCCCAGCCGUGAUAUCAACUCAAUUAUGUCCUCCGAGGAUUUGUCUUUCACUUGCGUAUCAAAACAAGACACAUGAGGUGUUGUAAGAUCUGCAAAUUGUCCUGGAGUUUGAAUCAAAUGGUCUACAGAAUCAACCAAGGCUUCACGAUGUCCC